rnacentral:sRNA from 1 species
GGGAGACCCAGGGAGAACGGGGAAGGGACAUUUAGUUUGGUGAGUUACGGGGGCACACCUUAGCUCAGAACCUGUUUUUACCCAGUAUCCUAGGGCUUUGGUUCUUUGUCGCCGUCCCCGUUGGAGUUUUUUCUUUGCCUUUCAGAAGCCCGUGCACUCUCUUUAGAGUGCAGGGCUGACGGGCGGUCCAGCCCUGGCCAAGUCUGAAUCUCCCAAAGACGGUGCUGAGAUAGGAUCAUGAAGGAAGAGGUGAAGGGAAUUCCUGUAAGAGUGGCGCUGCGUUGUCGCCCUCUGGUCCCCAAAGAGAUUAGCGAGGGCUGCCAGAUGUGCCUUUCCUUCGUGCCCGGAGAGCCUCAGGUGGUGGUUGGUACAGAUAAAUCCUUCACCUACGAUUUUGUCUUUGAUCCCUCUACUGAACAGGAAGAAGUCUUCAAUACAGCAGUAGCGCCACUCAUAAAAGGUGUAUUUAAAGGAUAUAAUGCAACGGUCCUGGCCUAUGGGCAGACUGGCUCUGGAAAAACCUAUUCGAUGGGAGGUGCAUACACUGCAGAGCAAGAGAAUGAACCAACAGUUGGGGUUAUUCCUAGGGUAAUACAACUGCUCUUCAAAGAAAUUGAUAAAAAGAGUGACUUUGAAUUUACUCUGAAAGUGUCUUACUUAGAG